UAAUGCUUAGGAAUCUGCCCAGUAGUGGGGGAUAGCCCGGGGAAACCCGGAUUAAUACCGCAUACGUCCUACGGGAGAAAGCAGGGGAUCUUCGGACCUUGCGCUAUUGGAUGAGCCUAAGUCGGAUUAGCUAGUUGGUGGGGUAAAGGCCUACCAAGGCGACGAUCCGUAGCUGGUCUGAGAGGAUGAUCAGCCACAUCGGGACUGAGACACGGCCCGAACUCCUACGGGAGGCAGCAGUGGGGAAUAUUGGACAAUGGGGGCAACCCUGAUCCAGCCAUGCCGCGUGUGUGAAGAAGGCUUUCGGGUUGUAAAGCACUUUCAGUAGGGAGGAAAACCUUAUGGUUAAUACCCAUGAGGCUUGACGUUACCUACAGAAGAAGCACCGGCUAACUCCGUGCCAGCAGCCGCGGUAAUACGGAGGGUGCAAGCGUUAAUCGGGAAUUACUGGGCGUAAAGCGCGCGUAGGUGGUUUGGUAAGCGAGAUGUGAAAGCUCCGGGCUUAACCUGGGAACGGCAUUUCGAACUGUCAGACUAGAGUGUGGUAGAGGGUAGUGGAAUUUCCUGUGUAGCGGUGAAAUGCGUAGAUAUAGGAAGGAGCACGAAUGGCGAAGGCGGCUACCUGGG
rnacentral:rRNA from 2 species